UACGAAGGGGGCUAGCGUUGUUCGGAAUUACUGGGCGUAAAGCGCACGUAGGCGGAUAUUUAAGUCAGGGGUGAAAUCCCGGGGCUCAACCCCGGAACUGCCUUUGAUACUGGGUAUCUCGAGUCCGAGAGAGGUGAGUGGAAUUCCGAGUGUAGAGGUGAAAUUCGUAGAUAUUCGGAGGAACACCAGUGGCGAAGGCGGCUCACUGGCCCGAUACUGACGCUGAUGCACGAAAGCGUGGGGAGCAAACAGG
rnacentral:rRNA from 1 species